rnacentral:rRNA from 1 species
GAUGAACGCUGGCGGCGUGCUUAACACAUGCAAGUCGAACGGGAAACCUUUUAUUGAAGCUUCGGCAGAUUUAGCUGGUUUCUAGUGGCGGACGGGUGAGUAACGCGUGGGUAACCUGCCUUAUACAGGGGGAUAACAACCAGAAAUGGUUGCUAAUACCGCAUAAGCGCACAGGACCGCAUGGUCCGGUGUGAAAAACUCCGGUGGUAUAAGAUGGACCCGCGUUGGAUUAGCUAGUUGGCAGGGUAACGGCCUACCAAGGCGACGAUCCAUAGCCGGCCUGAGAGGGUGAACGGCCACAUUGGGACUGAGACACGGCCCAGACUCCUACGGGAGGCAGCAGUGGGGAAUAGUGCACAAUGGGGGAAACCCUGAUGCAGCGACGCCGCGUGAAGGAAGAAGUAUCUCGGUAUGUAAACUUCUAUCAGCAGGGAAGAUAGUGACGGUACCUGACUAAGAAGCCCCGGCUAACUACGUG